rnacentral:rRNA from 1 species
CAGUAGCCGCGGUAAUACGUAGGGUGCAAGCGUUAAUCGGAAUUACUGGGAGUAAAGCGUGCGCAGGCGGUUUUGUAAGACAGAGGUGAAAUCCCCGGGCUCAACCUGGGAACUGCCUUUGUGACUGCAAGGCUAGAGUACGGCAGAGGGGGAUGGAAUUCCGCGUGUAGCAGUGAAAUGCGUAGAUAUGCGGAGGAACACCGAUGGCGAAGGCAAUCCCCUGGGCCUGUACUGACGCUCAUGCACGAAAGCGUGGGGAGCAAACAGGAUUAGAUACCCGUGUAGUCCCUGUCUCUUAUAC